AGAUUUGAGUGACAAUGGACUCCCUGUACUGGAGCUUACAGCCUGGACAGUGCUUGAAGGCUUUCUUGAAGGAGGAAACCAGGCUAUCCACAUCAGGGAACUGUGUGCACCAGAUGUCACUGACUAAAGACAGAAUGUGUGAAUUGCAGGUGAGAUGAGCUGCUUUGGGCAUCAUUCCAUGGAGCACAUCAGAGAGAGACUUGCACAUAUACAUGGCAUUGUUGGACAGAAAUGCUGAGAUCUUGUUAAAUGCUAAGCUGUAGUUGACAACAGUCUUCACUACAGCCUGAGCCAUGAUAGAAAAAUUGACGGAUGUGAGGUGGACCAGCUGUGUUUGAAAAACAGGCAGAUCCUGGUCUGUCCAGCUCCCAGGUACAAAUAAAAUGUGCAUAAUUAUUUUGAGGGUCAGUAGCUUCAUCAGCUGCAAUGGGAUUCAUACACUGUCAAUGCAAACUCUGUGGACCGUACAUACAAAGCAAUCACUAGAUGGAAAUAGUGUUGGUGAAGUUUGUUGCACAUGGGAAAAAUGAAGCAUUUGGCAUGUUUUUGUUUAGGUAGUCCCUUAACUUAGGGUGAUCAAUUUUCUCCAGUGGGAUGUUACCACCAUGAAAGCCUCUUUGCGGGAAAAUGUCACCACUCACCUUUGCCAAAUGGUCCUUUUAAAGAGCGAGGAUGUGGUUGCUUGUUUCUUGCUCUGAUCUUCAACCUCUGCAGUAGCCUUUCACUUUGUGCACCUUGGAUUGUAAGUGUCGAGCUAUGCUGUUUUUCCUCAACACAUCCAGAGUCACA